UUUGCUCAAUCGGGCCGAUUGCAAAACAGAGUUGGCGCCACUCGAAUUCUAGCGGUUAGAAUUCGAUCCGAUUUCGGUUCGAUUUCCAUCCGCCUGCUCGAUUGCUCGAAAACAGACGAUAUUUUCUGCAGUGCUGCGAUGAACAAAACGAAACACGGGCAGUGCAGUGCAGCAGAAAUAGGAUUUUUGUCAAAGAUCGGUUCGAUUUGAUUACGAUUUCGGGCCGAUGAACGGAUAAUAAUCGAACCAAUUUCGUGCCGUUUUUCCUAUCUGGGCGGGAAAUUUUUAAACGUCAUCGCGUUAAACGUUUCGCAUCGUUUCUCGUUGAAAUGUUUUGCAAAAUUGUGAAAAGUAGUGUUUCAGGCCGAACAAACAUUGCACUAGAACUACAUUGUGAUGUUCUUGUGUUCAAAAGUGGAAAUCCGGGGAUGCCUUUUUUAACACCUCCGGUGACUAACAGGCAACCAACAUCGGUAGCAACAAACUCAAUCACCUUCGAUUCUCGUACGGAUAUUCCAGCAAAACAGUUAUUUGCCACCGCUACACAAUUUGUUAAAUUUCGAUGAAGAAGGUAGGUAAAUAAUGUACCAUAAUUAUCGCAUUCAAUUUGACUACAUCGUCAUUUUCACGCCGUUCAUUUCUAGAUUGGUUUUGAAUUUGGUCCAUCGGACACCGAAGUUACCAUUCCACGAUAUCAUCACCAGGCCCGCCAGUCCCGUACUCUAGUAUCCUGUCUAAUCGGUGGUGAUGGAUUGUUCCGCUUGGCAAAGGAAUGAUCACCAAGAGUGGUAAUCGGAAACUGGUUUUGACUGCCAGAAAGGCUCUACUUUGCCAGAAAAGCAUUUCCGACGUGUUAUCUGUUAAUCGAGCACAAAGAAAGGGAGCUAAAAUGGACCAGGCAGAAAAGGAUCGAACGGAAAAUCAAAAACGCGAACAGAAACGGUGCGAACAAGAUUCUACGCAAUCAGAAUUCACUUAGGUGUAAGGAGUAUCUUUGGUCCCCUGGCCAAUGUCGACCGUAAUUCUGCGAGGCCAUCAGCUGGAUGAAAACUUAUACCUAAGUAGCUGUAACCUUUUGUAAACUUGAAGUAUUUGUGGCGGCCUAAAUUCGACUAGCACAAAAAAAACUAUCUCUUCUUGGGCCAUAUUCGGUUUUACCGGUUCAAUUAGCAUCCUGACAGGAGAACAACAACUAUUUGGAGCAGAUGAAACUGCCGAUCCAAAGGUACCAAAAAUUAGCCAAUUAACCACAACUGAAUAACGGUGGUUAUGUGUUCAUUUAACUUAUGUCGGCAAUUACUUAACAGCGCUACAUUUCAAACCUGUUUUGGUGGUCCCGCAAUCAUAAAAUGGUUGGUCGGUCAUAAGAUCCCAUCCUGCUGCUGACAGUGAAGUCUAACUACCACCGUAACUGUACUUUAGAAAUGGAACUUGCUGCCAAACACAACGUUUAAACAAUUUUUUUUUAAAUAUGUAUUAAUCAAUUUUAUAAUAUUACUCAAUCUACGGAAAUAGGUUCUUGAAUGGAACCACAAGAUCAGAAUAUCUCUUGUUAACGAAACAAGAAUUUUAAACUAUCGAAGAGUUUAUCAGUAAGGCCCAAGUAAAGAAUAGGUUCUCGUGUGAACUCUUGAAGCAUGAAAACAAAUAGGAAAUUAAGGUUAUUUUUACAUAGUAUUAAAGUAAGGUAUCGCUUAUAAAACCCGAUCAAGUAAUAUGUUCAGUAAUACAGUAGACAGACCCAAAGCUAUAGCUAAGCCUCAGAGUAGUCUUUUAUUUAACAAGUAUGCAUACUGUUGUUUUAAAAAAUACUUAAUUAAUCCAGCGAUUGAAUUGUCUAAAUUGUCUAAACAAUCUUACUGCGUAUGUUGUGUCUUGUUAAAUCGAAUAAUUUUAAAGAUACAUAGAACUAGAUAAACGCUGAUUAGUCCUAGCUUGAACAGGUCAGUUUGAUGGUUCAAGUUGAUUCAAGUCAUUUUUUAGACCGUGAUAUGUUUAUUGUUACUUGAAUUAGACAGUUUAAUUGCUAAUUAAAAGUUCAGAAAAGUAGUAUACACAUUACGCCAAAAUAUUAGCUAUUUCCUUAGUAAUUAAGAGGAAAUAAUACGUACCAGGUUGGUAACAUUGAUCAUUAAUAUUUUUUAACGAAUAUUAUAGAUUGUAGUAAUGAUGAUAUUUUUUUAUUUAA